UAAAUUGAGAGUUUGAUCCUGGCUCAGGACGAACGCUGGCGGCGUGCCUAACACAUGCAAGUCGAGCGAUGAAGCUACCUUCGGGUAGUGGAAUA
rfam:Clostridium tepidiprofundi DSM 19306 CLTE_contig000018, whole genome shotgun sequence.